ACUCCUACGGGAGGCAGCAGUGAGGAAUAUUGCGCAAUGGGGGAAACCCUGACGCAGCAACGCCGCGUGGGUGAAGAAGGCCUUCGGGUCGUAAAGCCCUUUCGGACGGGACGAACGCUCCGUGGUGACAACCCGCGGAGCCUGACGGUACCGUAAGAAGAAGCACCGGCUAACUCCGUGCCAGCAGCCGCGGUAAUACGGAGGGUGCAAGCGUUGUUCGGAAUUACUGGGCGUAAAGCGCGUGUAGGCGGCCUUGCAAGCCAGACGUGAAAGCCCUCGGCUUAACCGGGGAAGUGCGUCUGGAACUGCUCGGCUCGAGUACGGGAGAGGGAGGCGGAAUUCCCAGUGUAGAGGUGAAAUUCGUAGAUAUUGGGAGGAACACCGGUGGCGAAAGCGGCCUCCUGGACCGAUACUGACGCUGAGACGCGAAAGCGUGGGGAGCAAACAGGAUUAGAUACCCUGGUAGUCCACGCUGUAAACGAUGGGCACUAGGUGUGGGGGGUAUCCACUCCUCCCGUGCCGCAGCUAACGCACUAAGUGCCCCGCCUGGGGA
rnacentral:rRNA from 1 species